rnacentral:snRNA from 1 species
AGCUUUGCGCAGUGGCAGCAUCGUAGCCAAUGAGGCGCGAUUAUUGCUAAUUGAAAACUUUUCCCAAGAAUG